rnacentral:rRNA from 1 species
AUUGAACGCUGGCGGCAUGCCUUACACAUGCAAGUCGAACGGUAACAGGUCUUCGGAUGCUGACGAGCGGCGAACGGGUGAGUAAUACAUCGGAACGUGCCCGAGAGUGGGGGAUAACGAGGCGAAAGCUUUGCUAAUACCGCAUACGAUCUCAGGAUGAAAGCAGGGGACCGCAAGGCCUUGCGCUCACGGAGCGGCCGAUGGCAGAUUAGGUAGUUGGUGGGAUAAAAGCUUACCAAGCCGACGAUCUGUAGCUGUUCUGAGAGGACGACCAUCCAUACAGGGACUGAGACACGGACCAGACUCUUACGGGAGGCAGCGGUGGGGAAUUGUGGACAAUGGGCGCAAGCCUGAUCCAGCCAUGCCGCGUGUAGGAUGAAGGCCUUCUGGUUGUAAACUUCUUUUGUACGUAACGAAAAGACUCUGGUUAAUACCUGGGGUCCAUGACGGUACCGUAAGAAUAAGCACCGGCUAACUGCGUGCCAGCCGCCGCCGUAACAC